UACGGGGGGGGCAAGCGUUGUUCGGAAUUACUGGGCGUAAAGGGCUCGUAGGCGGCCAACUAAGUCGGACGUGAAAUCCCUCGGCUUAACCGGGGAACUGCGUCCGAUACUGGAUGGCUUGAGUGUGGGAGAGGGAUGCGGAAUUCCAGGUGUAGCGGUGAAAUGCGUAGAUAUCUGGAGGAACACCAAUAGCGAAGGCAGCUCGCUGGGACGGUAUUGACGCUAAGGCGCGAAAGCGUGGGGAGCAAACAGG
rnacentral:rRNA from 1 species